CGUAGGAGCUGGUGAACGUGUGGAUGCGGCGUGGGAGUGACGCUGGUGACUGCACAGACGAGCGCCCCUGCCACAGC
rnacentral:miRNA from 1 species